GUCCACGCCCUAACGAUGUCAACUGGUUGUUGGACGGCAUGCUGUUCAGUAACGAAGCUAACGCGUGAAGUUGACCGCCUGGGGAGUACGGCCGCAAGGUUGAAACUCAAAGGAAUUGACGGGACCCGCACAAGCGGUGGAUGAUGUGGUUUAAUUCGAUGCAACGCGAAAACCUUACCUACCCUUGACAUGCCAGGAACUUGCCAGAGAUGGCUUGGUGCUCGAAAGAGAACCUGGACACAGGUGCUGCAUGGCCGUCGU
rnacentral:rRNA from 1 species